UCUUAAGGGACGUCUCUUAAUCAAGAGACAGAAGAGACGGCUCUUGUUUCCGUCUCCCACUCGUCCUCUUCCCAGCAUCAGAUGAAUCGUACUCUAGCUGAUUUUCAAGCGGCUCAGCAGCAACAAGCAGCUAUCAACGUGAUUCUUCUAAGAUCGGUGGUUCGUCUCACCGUUACGGCUCGCCGUUUCUUCCUAAUCUCAGGUCUCAGACGCAGCAUCAAUCGGAUUUGGUUGGGAUCCGAAUGGGAUACGGUUUGAGUAAUCAGACGUCAGCAGGCGAUUCAGAUUCUAAACCGGGUGGGGACUGAGUGGGACCAAUUAGAUGCGCUUUAUGAAUUCAAUUGGGACUUCAAACAUCUUGAAGAAGCAUUGGAGGAGGAAGAUGGAUUGCUCUAUGGGAAGAAAGUCUUCCUUUUUAGCUGUACAGAACGCGUUCGUGAAUCUUGUUCUUGCACUAUGCGAUCCAGUUGUCAUGUUCCAGCCCUACUACUCUUGUGAAUCCUGGUAACCCAAGCGGCACCUAUACUUAUACCUGGACUGAUACUUAUAGUUGAAUUGAUUUUACCUGAUAGUUUUGUUGGCGCUGUUACAGUUUAAUAGCUCUUUCUGAACAACUCUGAGUAAAGCAGAGAACAGUAGAGGCUUGUAAUUAUGUCUCUACCCUAAUCUAUUUGUUUUGCAAAUAACUGAACGCCUUACUUGUAAUUAUGUCUCUACCCUAAUCCACUUGAUUUUACCUGAUAGUUUUGUUGUUCAAAAGUAUGGAAGUUUAAUGGCAGAUGAUCACUAGAAGCUACUGAACGCCUUGCUGUUGCAGUUGGGCUGUAACCAAGCCACAGUCAGGAAGAAGGCUGUUACAUGCAUUGUGCUUACAGGAAAUCGAGCAAGAGAGCAAUCUUUUUGGAUUAUGAUGGUACUUUAGUUCCUGAGACCUCCAUCGUAAAGGACCCAAGUGCUGAAGUUAUGUCUGCGUUGAAGACACUGUGUACUGAUCCUAAUAACACUAUAUUUAUUGUUAGCGGGAGGGGUAAGGUCACCAGAUUGUUGAAGUUAGGCCUCAGGGAAUAAGCAAAGCUCUUGUCACCAGGAAAUGCUCAAAGAAGGAAAUGGACCAGAUUUUGUGGCAUGCAUCGGGGAUGAUAGGUUAGACUAGGAGAUGUUUGAGAGCAUAACAACAAACACUCUCGGCUCAACCCUCGUCAAUGUGUACAGAGAUAUUUUUGUGCACGGUGAGAAGAAAACCGAGAAAAGCUUAGUACCCUUCUCACCAUAGAGUCUCCUUCUAAAGUGUGGUAUGAGUAGUCAUGAAAGGAAACAUGAUUUGUACAUAGAAAAUAUGAAAAUUGAGGUUUAUUUAGUCAGGUGUUGGUACAUGUAUAUAAUUAUUUAAGACUUGUGAGCAAGAGACUAGCUCUUUCCCUAUUCUGUUUUGUACAUUGGCUUGUGCUAUAAUCUACAUGUGUUUCU